rnacentral:rRNA from 1 species
UACGGGGGGGGCAAGCGUUGUUCGGAAUUACUGGGCGUAAAGGGCUCGUAGGUGGCCAACUAAGUCAGACGUGAAAUCCCUCGGCUUAACCGGGGAACUGCGUCUGAUACUGGAUGGCUUGAGAUUGGGAGAGGGAUGCGGAAUUCCAGGUGUAGCGGUGAAAUGCGUAGAUAUCUGGAGGAACACCGGUGGCGAAGGCGACAUCCUGGACCAACACUGACGCUGAGGAGCGAAAGCCAGGGGAGCAAACGGG